rnacentral:rRNA from 1 species
UACCAGCACCCCGAGUGGUCGGGACGUUUAUUGGGCCUAAAGCAUCCGUAGCCGGUUCUACAAGUCUUCCGUUAAAUCCACCUGCUUAACAGAUGGGCUGCGGAAGAUACUAUAGAGCUAGGAGGCGGGAGAGGCAAGCGGUACUUUAUGGGUAGGGGUAAAAUCCGUUGAUCCAUUGAAGACCACCAGUGGCGAAGGCGGCUUGCCAGAAUGCGCUCGACGGUGAGGGAUGAAAGCUGGGGGAGCAAACCGG